rnacentral:rRNA from 1 species
CCUACGGGAGGCAGCAGUGAGGAAUAUUGGUCAAUGGACGAGAGUCUGAACCAGCCAAGUCGCGUGAAGGAUGAAGGUUCUAUGGAUUGUAAACUUCUUUUGUCCGAGGGUAAAGUGUGGGACGUGUCCCAUUUGGCAAGUAUCGGACGAAUAAGCAUCGGCUAACUCCGUGCCAGCAGCCGCGGUAAU